UAGAAGGAGUCUUAAACCGUAGAAAGUGAAAGUAAAGGUGGGAGAAUGUCUGCGACACUGCACCAGAGCAGACGAUCAACGCCAUAGCAAGGUAGGAUCACUCUAUUUCUAUCUACUAAUAGUGUUACUAAUAUCACUAUUCUGGAUUUGUGUCUGUCAAAUGUAACGACUCCACCACCAGUUGGACUUUAAUGGCAGCGGCCACACAACGAGAAGUGUCUUAUUGAACAGGCUUCUGGAGUGAUUUGUAGGAGGUGUCUGAGGUCUGCAGAGUCGUAUGCUGGACAAGAGUGGACCAGAAUGAAUAAAAGCUCCUUCUUCCCUAGUGUGAGUUUGGAUGGUAACGGUGGCAGCAUGACAUCAUGGAUAUACGCGACUCACCUAUUUCUUUUCGUAAGUGUCCUCUAUACAAAAACCUUGUACAAUAUUAUUAUGUAUAUUUGACAUGCUUUGUCUUAAUCUCCAAGAAUAUAAAAAAACAGACGUCUGAUGCUGUUUGUGUUCUAGGUUUUCCUGAGCACGAUCGGCCUAUCAGAGGAGGGCUGUGAUGAAUAUUUUCAAAUGAAGGACUGGGGAGGAAAGCUGAAUGAAACGUUUGGCCUCGUGAGAACUAAGGAUUCCAAGGUCAUUUACUGAAACUGCAAAAAAUGAUAUUUUGAGAUUCUAUUUAAAUAUAUGCUUAAUAGAGACUGAAUUGCAUUGGCUUACAUGUGUUCUCUUCCCAACGCAGUACACAAUGGAAUGUACUGCGGAGAAUGAGUGCCUGAACAACAGCAACUUAGGAUGUAAUUUGCUACAUCAAUGCUUUUUGCGGAAAGAUGAUUUAAAUAAUACGAAGAGUGAAAAGUGUAAAGGGGAAAUUUCUCACAAUGUCCAUUACUAUCACUUCAUGUGCUUGACGGCCCAAGCUAUCAACCGCACUUACGAAGGCUGCGAAUACGAAAACGAAUGCAAGACCUAUUCAGAAAUAGUAUCCACUGUUGUUGAUCAGACAAAAACAUUGCCCCCACCAACAACAACAACAACAACAACAACAACACUGCCUCCAACAACAACAUCAACAACAUUGCCACCAUCAACAACAUUGCCACCAACAACAACACUGCCUCCAACAACAACAACAAUAACAACAACAGUAUUGUCACCAUCAAUAGCAGCAUCGCCACCAACAGCAACAACAGCAACACUCGCACAGAGCGCAGUUAGCCGAAUAAAUGCCGAGACCUUAACCCUGAAGAUGUUAUUAGUGCUGUCUGUGGUCGUCAAUGUGAUCUCUCUGGCUGUUUACCUGUACAAGCGCCAAACGUGGAGACAGGAGAGGAUACAGUGGGCAGACACACCGCUGCCCUCUACAAAAGGGGAGGUAGAGACCACAUAUUUAAUGAAGCCUUUUGGGUGUAACUCCGUCCUCACAUAUUCAAUUGAUGAUGAUGAUAGGAAAAGUGUUGCUGUUGAAGAGGACAAGCAGCAUUAAAGACCCUACUCACCGUAGAUCUUAAUGAAACACAGCUGUGGGAUGUGACAAAUGCCAGUGAAGGGCAAUAGUUUGCAAAUACCUUGGGCCCCAGACUGAAAGUGAACAAGCUGCAACAUGCCUGCUGCUACAUGCCUGCUGCAACAUGCCUGCUGUCUCAGCCGCGGAAGGUAUUGCCCCAGCACUAAGUGUAAGGGAAUUGAAGUGCAGCAGGACUGUAUAGAGUCUAAUUGACUGAGCUACUUGUCUGGACUAAAUUUGAAGAAUUUGUACCCCUGUGACCAAACAGAAACACAUUGAGAUAUUCACAGGAGAGGGAGUUUGUUUUACCACAGACAAGAGAGAGGGCCAAAGGUUAAAACACCGCAAUGAAAUAUUUGCCGUCAAACCCAAUUCGUCUAAUGGGUAUUAUAAUCAAAAUAAAGAAACUAGUACAGGCCUUUUGUUAGAUAGACAGGUCAUGACAAUAUUAAUAAUAAUCUUUAUUUGUAUAUACAAGAAUUGCAGCCCAAAGUGCUUCACAGCAAAAACAUAACAAUUAGUACAAGAUUAGACAGAAUAAGAGCAUUUACUAUAUGAACUAUAACAAAGCUGAUAAGCCGAAUACUACUAAAGUUAUCGAAUGUUUGCUUCUGAGAAUAAAUACACAGGCAACACUGUUUUUACCAACCAGGACACGUAAUACCUGACCGACACAUAUAUUUCACAGUAUGUAGGGCCUUGUGAAUGUGCAUGCAGCUUUUGUGUUACCUAACUUCACUAUACAGUUUGAAUCUAGUAAUAACAUUACAGCUUUAAUGUCUCCAUUGAUAAAGUAUUUUUACUCACUCCUUCAAUCCAGUCCAACCGUCCAAAGCCGUUAGAGAAAUAAUGCAUGUGACGCAAACUGCACAUUUUGUGGGACGAUGGCUCAGUGAGCCUUUUGCAGCUUUUUGGUGUUUUAAAAUGUCGCCUGAUUUUCUUUAUGUAACAGUCAGACAGAGCAGCAGACAAAGUUCUCUGGGCAUUAGAAACAAAAAAAAGUUUAUUUAUUUGUUUGUUUUGUUGUUUUUUGUUUAGUUUGAUUGUGAUGAAGAUGAAGCUGAAAUGCUGGUCGUGCGCCAAAGAAAGAACAUUUGAAAUGCAUCUAUAUGUGAGCUGCCCAGAGAUUUAUAUUUAUUAUAAUAAAAUGUUAUAAUAACGCAGUCUGAUCCACAGCAUUUUGACCAAUCUUUCAUAAACUGUAAAAACAACCUGACGUUUAUGUGAAAAGUUAUUUAAAACGUAGUUAUUCUGGAUAGGUUCUCCCUCAGACGAGCUUCACAAAUAGAAGCUCUUUGUGUUUAAUGUCAAAUAAACUGUCCACUUAAACAUAUAUAUUCUUUGGACAUGUUACAAAUGGCUCUCAAACAAAUGCAUAUCUAAUACAAAUGAUUUAUGUCAUUUUCUUUUCUGCCAUCCAGAACAAAUGUCAAUAUCUUAUCAGUUGAUAACAUAGAAAUAUCAUUUCAUAAUCAUAACAUACCACCCAUCUGCCUCUCAUAAAUUUGGCAUUUAGCAAGUGUUGUGCUUUGCUUGUAUAUUUUUUAUUAAGUCAUCCAGUUUAUUUAUGGAGCUUUUAACAGACUGAAGAAGAUUGUCCCAGUGUGUCUGCAUGUGUGUAUGUAGGUGAGGUUUUAAUACACGCAGCCAGGAUGAAAGUACUUGUGCAUACAGCUUAGUGUUUAAUAAUAACAGACUGAAGUAUGAGAAAUGUGAGGAGGCGGAAAGAAUGUCACUGGUUGAGAUAAUUACUAAAUUACUUUUGUUUUUCACUCACUUCAGUUAAAGCUGGCCCGUUAGUUCGCUGAGGUUCAGCUCCUCGCUUGUAGUUGUUCCAUGAGACCAGCAGUAGUUGCAUUACAUUAAAGGUCUACAUUAAAAUAAAAAAUGUUCUACUGAUUAAAAGUUAACUCUCGAAAACAAAAGAUCGUUGAGUAUUCAUCAUUUUGGCAGCAUGUUUCAGAGAUAAAGUGGAGUGUGCUCAAUCCUGUUAUGAAAAGCAAACGAAACAUCUAAGUGAUGCCAGGUCUGUUUGUAUUAUUUAACUCCUUUGGUACUUUUUGCAUUGUAUGUUUGUAUUGUAAAAUGUAUUGUGAAAAUGGGAAGAAAUGUAUUCUUACUGACUGUACAAUGUGUUUUGUGUAUAAUUGUUAUGUGUUUAUAGCUGACCAAAGUUCUACACAUAACAGCUUUAAUAUGUGCAUACAUCAUGACAUACCUUAACAAAUAAAGUCAUAAUAAUCUGAUU
rnacentral:lncRNA from 1 species